rnacentral:rRNA from 1 species
GAUUAAUUCGAUGCAACGCGAAGAACCUUACCUGGGCUUGACAUGUGCCGGAUCGCCGUGGAGACACGGUUUCCCUUCGGGGCCGGUUCACAGGUGGUGCAUGGUCGUCGUCAGCUCGUGUCGUGAGAUGUUGGGUUAAGUCCCGCAACGAGCGCAACCCUCGCCGCAUGUUGCCAGCGGGUGAUGCCGGGAACUCAUGUGGGACCGCCGGGGUCAACUCGGAGGAAGGUGGGGAUGACGUCAGAUCAUCAUGCCCCUUACGUCCAGGGCUUCACGCAUGCUACAAUGGCCGGUACAACGCGGUGCGACACGGUGACGUGGGGCGGAUCGCUGAAAACCGGUCUCAGUUCGGAUCGCAGUCUGCAACUCGACUGCGUGAAGGCGGAGUCGCUAGUAAUCGCGGAUCAGCAACGCCGCGGUGAAUGCGUUCCCGGGCCUUGUACACACCG